rnacentral:rRNA from 1 species
CAUGCCGCGUGUGUGAAGAAGGCCUUCGGGUUGUAAAGCACUUUCAGUCGUGAGGAAGGUAGUGUAGUUAAUAGCUGCAUUAUUUGACGUUAGCGACAGAAGAAGCACCGGCUAACUCCGUGCCAGCAGCCGCGGUAAUACGGAGGGUGCGAGCGUUAAUCGGAAUUACUGGGCGUAAAGCGCAUGCAGGUGGUUUGUUAAGUCAGAUGUGAAAGCCCGGGGCUCAACCUCGGAAUAGCAUUUGAAACUGGCAGACUAGAGUACUGUAGAGGGGGGUAGAAUUUCAGGUGUAGCGGUGAAAUGCGUAGAGAUCUGAAGGAAUACCGGUGGCGAAGGCGGCCCCCUGGACAGAUACUGACACUCAGAUGCGAAAGCGUGGGGAGCAAACAGGAUUAGAUACCCUGGUAGUCCACGCCGUAAACGAUGUCUACUUGGAGGUUGUGGCCUUGAGCCGUGGCUUUCGGAGCUAACGCGUUAAGUAGACCGCCUGGGGAGUACGGUCGCAAGAUUAAAACUCAAAUGAAUUGACGGGGGCCCGCACAAGCGGUGGAGCAUGUGGUUUAAUUCGAUGCAACGCGAAGAACCUUACCUACUCUUGACAUCCAGAGAACUUUCCAGAGAUGGAUUGGUGCCUUCGGGAACUCUGAGACAGGUGCUGCAUGGCUGUCGUCAGCUCGUGUUGUGAAAUGUUGGGUUAAGUCCCGCAACGAGCGCAACCCUUAUCCUUGUUUGCCAGCGAGUAAUGUCGGGAACUCCAGGGAGACUGCCGGUGAUAAACCGGAGGAAGGUGGGGACGACGUCAAGUCAUCAUGGCCCUUACGAGUAGGGCUACACACGUGCUACAAUGGCGCAUACAGAGGGCGGCCAACUUGCGAAAGUGAGCGAAUCCCAAAAAGUGCGUCGUAGUCCGGAUUGGAGUCUGCAACUCGACUCCAUGAAGUCGGAAUCGCUAGUAAUCGUGGAUCAGAAUGCCACGGUGAAUACGUUCCCGGGCCUUGUACACACCGCCCGUCACACCAUGGGAGUGGGCUGCAAAAGAAGUAGGUAGUUUAACCUCGGGGGACGCUUACCGUA